rnacentral:piRNA from 1 species
UGGGAACUUUUUAACAUAUGCUAAGAAUUC